UCCACGGACCGCUUACCUCUGGCCUGCUGUCACUCCGGAGGGAGUGGGUGGGCCUUGCAACCUGUCCAAUCAGGGGAGACGUCAGGGCAAGGGGGUGGGGCGACGCUCCGCAGGCGCGCCGCGGGAGGCUUCUGGCUCCCGCCAUUGUUUGGAUCGCGGGUCGCCGGCGCUGAAGUCCUCCACGUCGCUGUGCCUCGGGUUCUGUCUUGCUGAGCCCUGGACCUUCCUCGGAAAUCGUAGGUAGGACGCCGGGAGACACAGGAAAGCUAGAAAUGGACUCGGUGGCCUUUGAGGAUGUGACUGUGAAGUUCACCAUGGAGGAGUGGGCCCUCCUGGAUCCAUCCCAGAAGAAACUCUACAGAGAUGUGAUGCAGGAAACCUUCAGGAACCUGGCCUCAAUAGUAUGUAUUUCAGAAGAAAAAUGGGAAGUCUAUGACAGCAAAGAUCGGGAUGAGAAUCAUGGGACACAUCUAAUCAGUCAAAUGGGAGGAAGACUCUGUAAAUGUAAAGAAUGUAGCCAGUAUGAAGGAAUCUUCGGCCAGAUUCCAAAUCAGAAUCUGAAGAAGAGAACUCCUACUGGAAUAAAACUAGGUAAAUGGCCUGUGUGCGGACAGGUGUUCAUGCAUCAUUCAUCUUUGAACAAGCACCUGAGAUCUCACGCUGGACACAAACUAUAUGAGUAUCAAGAAGGUGAAGAGAAGCCUUAUAAAUGUAAGCGUUGUGGGAAAUCCUUCAAGCAUCGCCAAUCCAUUCGAAUGCACGAAAGGUCGCACGCUGGACAGAGACCCUAUGAAUGCAAGCACUGUGGGAAGGCUUUCAUUUGUCGCAAUUACUUUCAAAUCCAUCAAAGGGCACACAGUGGGGAAAAGCCCUACAAAUGUACAGAAUGUGGUAAAACCUUUAGUUAUUCAAGUAACUUACGUAAACACGAAAGGACUCACAUCGGAGAGAAAUCUAGUGAAUGUAAGCAAUGUGGAAAAGCUUUCAGUUGUGUCAGGUCCUUUCGAAUACACGAAAGGAUACACAGUGCAAAAAAGCCCAAGGAAUGUACAAAAUGUGGUAAAACGUUCAGUUACUCAAGUAAUUUAUAUAAGCAUGAGAGAAGUCAUAAUGGGGAGAAACUCUAUGAACGUAAAGAAGGUGGGAAAGCCUUGCAUUCUCUCACCAAAUUUCAAAGACCCGUGAUCAAGCACAAUGGAGAUGGACUUUAUAAAUGUAAGGAGUGUGGGAAAGCCUUCAGGUGUCCCAAAAACUGUCGUAGUCAUGAAAUGACACACAGUGGAGUAAAGCCGUAUGAAUGUAAGGAAUGUGGUAAAGCUUUCAGCUCUCCCAGGUCCCUUGGAAAACACAGAAGAAUUCAUACUGCCACGAAGCCUCACGAAUGUAAGGAAUGUGGUAAGGCUUUUCGUUAUCCCAGUUCCCUUCGAAAUCAUGAAAGAACUCAUACGGGGGAGAAACCUUAUGAGUGUAAGGAGUGUGGGAAAGCUUUUAGUUGUCCCAAUUAUUUUCGAAUUCAUGAAAGAACUCACACUGGAGUAAAACCAUAUGAAUGUAAGCAGUGUGGAAGAGCUUUCAGUUGUCCCCAGUCCUUUCGGAUACACGAAAAGACGCAUAGCGCAGAAAAGCCCUAUGAAUGUGCAGAAUGUGGUAAAGUCUUCAGGUACUCCAGUAACUUACGCAAACAUGAGAGAUCUCAUACUGAUGAUAAACGCUACGAAUGUAAACUAUGUGGUAAGGCCUUCAGCAGUCACUAUUAUGUUCAAAAACAUGAAAGAACUCACAAUGGAGAAAAACCCUAUGAAUGUAAGGAAUGUGGGAAAGGCUUCAUUUUUCGCUCAGGUGUUCGAUCGCACAUGGUAAUCCACACUGGAGAUGGGCCUUAUAAAUGUAAGAAAUGUAAAAAAGCAUUUAUUUCUCCCAGUUCGUUACGAACACAUGAAAGAACUCACACUGGAGAGAAACCUUACCAAUGUAAAACUUGUAGUAAAACCUUCAGUCUUACAAAUUCCUUACGAAACCAUGAAAGAACUCAUACGUGAGAGAGAUGUAUGUGGUAAAGCUUUUUCCUAUUUUCCUAUGAAAAUAAGGAAUGUGAGAAAGCAAAAGAUUUGUUGCAUAAUCUUUCAUGGACACGUAAGAAUGCACACUGGAGAGGAAUUGUAGAAAUGUACAGAACGCAAGAAAGCCUUCAGUUGUCCUGUUUCCUUCAGAACUGACCAAAAGUCACAGUGGAGAGAAUUCUAUCGGUAAUAAACAAUGUGGGAAACCUUCACUUGCCCGCCAUCACUAAACAUCUCAUUCCCCAGAUUCAUCCUGUAUAACUAAAACAUAAAAACUUUGUAAUUUUUGCAGAUAUUUUCAAGGUGGUAUGAAAGUUAUAUGGGAAAGAAAUCAUACUCAAGUAAUAUGGAAUCAAGAAUAAUCUCAAAACCACCACCAAGUGCUUGACUUCCAUUUGAUCCCAGCAGUAGGCUUCUACAGUUGUGUCCAAAGUUCUACAUCAGAGACCCGGCAGGGGUUAAAGUUUCCAGCAAGCUCUCAGGUGAAAGGAAUUGAAACUCCCUUAAUGAUUUGGCACGUGUUUUCUGGCUGAUCAGACUGAGUGGCACACUUUGUGCCCCAUGCCAAGUUCCAGUCUGAGGAGGUUCUGUCAUCUGCGGAGCUAUAGCCCGUCAUGAGUUUUCCU